CAAAGGACACUCCUGGUGUUUUAGUUGCCGGGUUAAAGCAGGAAAGGGGCAAGUGGAAUGGUGUGUACAUUUUCCAGAAAACAAGGAAUUCACACAGAAUUUGGCAGUACAUCCAAACGGCCUCACAACCGAAGACCAUGUGUAACCCCGCCAGCCCAGGACCUCUACAUCUGGCUUCUUCACCUGUGGGAUCGUCUGAGCACAGCCACCCUGACAGCUGAUGAAGCAGUAGUAUUUCUGUCUGUAAUAAAGCCCUUUUUUGGGGGGGGGGACAUAUUCUUAUUGACUGGGCCUGGCUCCUCAGUGGGUGGGCCUAUGCACUCCCAGGCCCACCCAUGGCUGCGCCCCUGCCCAGUCAUGUUAAAUCCAUAGAUUAGAGCCUAAUGAAUUAAUUUAAAUUGACUGAUUUCCUUAUAUGAACUAUAACUCAGUAAAAUCGUUGAAACUGUU